rnacentral:rRNA from 1 species
GAUGAACGCUGGCGGCGUGCCUAACACAUGCAAGUCGAACGGAGAUUACGGACGGAAGUUUUCGGAUGGAAGCCUGUAAUUCUUAGUGGCGGACGGGUGAGUAACGCGUGGGCAACCUGCCCUAUACAGGGGGAUAGCAGCUGGAAACGGCUGGUAAGACCGCAUAAGUCGGUUAAAUCGCAUGAUUUGAUCGGGAAAUGAGCAAUCAGGUAUAGGAUGGGCCCGCGUCCGAUUAGCCAGUUGGGAGGGUAAAAGCCUACCAAAGGGACGAUCGGUAGCCGGGAGUGGAGGGACGGCCGACACUAUUGGGACUGGGACCAGGCCCGAAUCCUACGGGAGGGGAGAAUGGGUGAUAUUGCACAAUGGAGGAAACUCUGAUGCAGCGACGCCGCGUGAGUGAAGAAGUAUUUCGGUAUGUAAAGCUCUAUCAGCAGGGAAGAUGAUGACGGUACCUGACUAAGAAGCCCCGGCUAACUACGUG